rnacentral:lncRNA from 1 species
GUGGAGAUUCAGAUGGUUAGUGAUGGCCACAGUUUCUUUUUCUCCUUUUGCUUGCCAAGUGUUUGGCUGCUGAUCACAUUUCCAGGAAAUCUGAGCUUUCCUUGAAAAUGUUGCUUCUUGUAAGUUCUUCUCUUUUAGUGAAUAUCAAUUCAGGGACCAGAAUCCCCAGCUCCAAUUUCUUGUGGCAUUUUCAUUUCUUGGGGAAAAUGAAAUAGAAGUUGGGUCAGCUAAUAAGUAAUCAACAAGCAUUUAUUAACCUUAACCUCUUCUGACAUACUAAGGAUCUUCAAGAAGGGUUGAGGAUUCAAAGAAUGACAAAGCCGUUGCCUGACACAUUCCAAAGAGGAACACAGACAUGGAAAUGUCUAAGUAUACACAUAAGAGCCUCAGGAGGGAAGACACUAGAAGUUGCAAGGACUAGGAAUGGUUUCCUACAAAAGGCCAGCAAGAUUAUGCUUGAGAUUCUACAAGCUAAGUUCCAGGAAUAUGUGACCCAAGAAUUACCAAAAGAACAGGAUGAUUUUUGAAUAGUCAGAGGAACUAGAGACCAAAUUGCCAACAUUCAUUGGAUUAUGAAGAAAGGAAAAGAGUACUAGGUAAACAUCUACUCCAACAUCAUUUGACUCUUCUAAACUCUUCAUGUGGAUCACAACAAAUGUGGCAAGUUCCCAAAGAGUUAGGAAUCCCAGAUCAUCUUACUUGUCUCCUGAGGAACUUUUACGCAGGCCAAUAAGUGACAAUUAGAACCAAACAUGGAACAUCUAAUUUGCAUAAAAUUAUGAAAGGAGUAUGACAAGCUGUAUAUUGUCAUUUAUUUAAUUUAUAUGCAGAAUACAUUAUGUGAAAUGCUAGGCUAGAUAAAUCAAAAGCCAGAAUUAAGGUUGCCAAGAGAAAUAUCAACAAUCUCAGAUAUGCAGAUGAUACUACUCUAAUGGCAAAAAGUAAAGAAGAAUUAAGAAGCCUUGAUGAGGAUGAAAGAACUGGAGUGAAGCUUAACAUGACAACAAAAGCUUCAGAUAUUGGCAGUUAGACCCAUUACUUCCUGGAAAAUAUAGAGAGAAGAAAGGGAAGCAAGUGUCAGAUUUUAUAUUCUUGGGCUCAAAGAUCAUCGCAGAUGGUGACUAUAACCAUGAAAUUAAAAAAAAUGCUUAAUUCUUGCAGAAAGUUUUGGCAAUUCUGGAUAGCAUACUAAAAAGGAGAAACACCAUCUUGCAGACAAAAGUAGUCAAAUCUCUGUUUUCCCCAGUAGCAAUAUCUUGCUUUUUCUCUCCCAUCUUUCUAUUUAUCUAUCAAUCAUCAGAAAGUUAUCAAUAAAGAGAUACUUGCUAGACCCA